AAAACUAACAAGGAUUCCCCUAGUAACGGCGAGUGAAGCGGGAAGAGCUCAAAUUUGAAAUCUCACCUCUGGUGCGAAUUGUAGUUUAGAGAAGCGUUUUCGGGCUGACCAGUAGGUACAAGUUCAUUGGAACAUGACAUCAUAGAGGGUGAAAAUCCCGUCUUUGACCUAUUGGCUCAGUCCAUAUGAUACGUUUUCCAAGAGUCGGUUUGUUUGGGAAUGCAGACCAAAAUGGGUGGUAAAUACCAUCUAAAGCUAAAUAUUGGCGAGAGACCGAUAGCGAACAAGUACCGUGAGGGAAAGAUGAAAAGAACUUUGAAAAGAGAGUUAAACAGUACGUGAAAUUGUCAAAAGGGAAACGCUUGAAACCAGUAUUGCAUGCCGAAAUUUAGCUGUGAUUUAUUGCAGUGUCCUUUUCGGUUUGCGAGUCAACAUCAGUUUGGCCUGGAGUAAAAAGCGCAAGGAAGGUGGCCCUCUGGGUGUUAUAGCCUUGCGUCAUGCUCUGGGCUGGACUGAGGUCUGCAGCUUUGCUUAGGAUGUUGACGAAAUGGUUUUAAACGACCCGUCUUGAAACACGGACCAAGGAGUCUAACAUAUAUGCGAGUAUUUGGGUGGCAAACCCUUUUGCGCAAUGAAAGUGAAAAGGUGGGAUCCUUUUAGGUGCACCAUCGACCGCGCCAGAUUAUUACUAUCUCGGCGUGAGUAUGAGCAUACAUGUUGGGACCCGAAAGAUGGUGAACUAUACCUGAAUAGGGUGAAGCCAGAGGAAACUCUGGUGGAGGCUCGUAGCGGUUCUGACGUGCAAAUCGAUCGUCAAAUUUGGGUAUAGGGGCGAAAGACUAAUCGAACUCUU
rnacentral:rRNA from 1 species